CACAGUUUUUAAUGUAUUCAUAUGCUACACAUUCAGUUUUUUGAAAAUUAAACAUGAGCUUAGUUAGCCUUUUAUUGCUGUCUUUCUUGCUACUCUUACCGUUCAUGGCAGUAACAUGAAGAUGGAAAGAAAUCUUUUUUUGUGGAAUUAACUUGAACAAGUCAAUCAUUUUCACCAUAUUAGUGAAUUUUUAUAGAGAUUUUACCUUCAUAAAUAGACAGAUAUCUUGUUUGACUUUAAUACUUCAAGUCCAUGACAUCAUAAAAGUAGCAGAAUGUUCAAGUAUGCACCUGCAACUAGUAUUCUAUUUGUGACCUGUUACUAUAGCGACAGUGACUAAAGUAAACAUCAAAGACAGCGUCAUUCAAACUGCAAAGUCUGAUCACAUCUGAUCCUACAAAAAUUAAAUCGAGGUAUGAUUUCCUUAAUUAACCGAAUGCAGCUUUUAUACCUUUGUAAAAAGUGGCGCCAUAAAUUAUGAUAGGAGUAUAUAAAUGCCUGUACACAGUGUUUUGUUUUUUGUUUUUUCAGUAUGAACAUAAAGAACAAUCAUAAGUGAGAAAAUCCAGAGUUUUGCUGUCGUUAAAGUUCCAAUUAAGUUUAGAAUUUGAAAUAAAGACAACUAAAUAUUAUUGCCAAUGUCUUUUCAACAGGAGUCCCAAUGGAUUAACGGAGUUAACUUAUAUAUAUAUAUAUAUAUAUAUGGGACACACAACAAUUAAAAAAGAAAAACAAGAUACUUUGACUACUUAAAUAGGAAAUGUCUCCGGUUUGCAUCUGGUCAUGUUAUUUUAUUAGUGCUACUGUAGUAAUUUUAUCCCAGAGAAGGUGAAAUUCUUCCAGGAAUGUGUUUCUUAUUACAGACAUCACCUCACCCUUCCUCAACAGGACACAGGACUUUCCUGCAUACAGGCAGGAAACUGAUUCUGAAAAAGAAGAGGAAGAGUGAAUUAUAUGGGUUGUCUACAAUAAACCAUGAACAAUACAUUUAUUACAGUAUUUAUUCAUCUUUGUUAAUGUUAGUUAAUGAAAAUACAGUUAAACUGUUACACUGUUAGUUCAUGUUAAUUCACAGUGCAUUAAUGUUAUUUAAACACAGUGCAUAAUUUGCACAUUGUGUCAGUGCCAGCAGUAAGUGAUGUUAAAUGCAAUAGUUCCCAGGCUGUAGCCAUCAUCAGUGUGCAGUGAAAUAUUCAGCAGAACUCAACCAUAGCAGUAUCUCACAUAUCCACUCAGCUGUGAUUGCGAGAUCUGAUCCACACACAAUGCAGCUGUUGAUUUUUCGAUUGUUAUCAUAAACGGUUUGUGUAGGGCAAUUCCUCAAACAUGCUGGAGCGAGCUGGCAUCAGUGCAUGAUAUACUUCUCUUCUUUUUUUGUGUGCUUUUAUUUUCAAAUCUUUCUCUUAAUCAGUAUUUGUGUCUUGUCUUCCAGUAAAAUAUCUUAUAUCAACUAUUAGUGGAUAGGGUCAAAAUUUUAACUAGAUCUGACUAUAUCUUUCCCCUGUUUGUUAAUCACAGUACAUAAAAACAACUGUUUGUAUGACAGGUUUUCUCAAGUGCUAUGUUUGAAUAUGCAAAUGAUGCAUUGUCUAAUUAAAUAUACACUCAUUUGCAUACAUUUCAAGAUCAGAUAUCUGAGCACUGGAUAAACAGGUUUAAAAGUUUUGUGCACUUUGUUGACAUAUGAUGAAUUUUUAUUCUUUCAGAAUCACUCGAUUAUACAGAAAAUACUUUCAACAGCCAGAAAAAAAAAAAAUCAAUGUUUUUAGGAAUAAAGUGUUAUAUGAAUCAGGCGAAUGAUAUAUA
ensembl:lncRNA